rnacentral:rRNA from 1 species
UACGUAGGGGGCAAGCGUUGUCCGGAUUUAUUGGGCGUAAAGAGCGUGUAGGCGGUUCGGUAGGUCCGUUGUGAAAACUCGAGGCUCAACCUCGAGACGCCGAUGGAAACCAUCUGACUAGAGUCCGGAAGAGGAGAGUGGAAUUCCUGGUGUAGCGGUGAAAUGCGCAGAUAUCAGGAAAGAACACCCGUGGCGAAAGCGGCUCUCUGGGACGGUACUGACGCUGAGACGCGAAAGCGUGGGGAGGCGAACAGG